AAUUAGCUGUUUGUUUGUGUGACUGUAUGCAAGUAAGAACCUACAGUGUGCACAAAUAUCUGUGUAUUAGUAAGUUACAAAAGUGUGCACAUUGUUCAUAUUUGUGUCAUGAGCAAAUAUUAGCUGUAUUGGUAUAAAUAUCAUUUUCCUGUUAAUAACAGAUGGGUCCAAACAAAAAAAACAUGGGGCCGUGGGAGAGGAGGAGGAGAUCAGGCGUUUGGCCUCUGAGGCAGGAAACAGACCAGCACCUCGGCAGAAGAAGUGGCAUGAUCUAUGUCUGAAGCCUUCCAGUUCGCUCCCUGUCUCAGUGCAUCCAGGAACCUCAUGUACAGUGGAACAGCAGCCAGGGCCUUCACCUGCUGAGACGCUACAGCCAGGACUCUACCUGCAGGUUCACCACCACCACCACCACCAAAGGAUGUCUCCUCAGCUAGUGGUGAACCUUGGCAUCAACCUCUGAUGUAUCCAGCCCCAUCACAAGCCCCACAAAAAGAAAAGUGUCACCACCUGGACGCACACUGUUUCUCCUGUGUCUCUUCCUCCUUCUCCUGUUCCUGUAUCAAGCUUCUUCCAUUCUGCCUCCACUGCUACAGCUGAACCCCCUCUGCUCCUCUCACCUUGCCAUUGCCUAAAACUGUGGGGAUCGUACCUGUUUCAGAUGCUGCCUGGCUGCCCACAAAGCUGCUAAAGACAUUUCAGCAGCCCUGUGGAAAGACCAGCGUCUUUUCAAAGACCUGAAACUGUGGUAUGAUCCACCAGAGUCCUCCCUCAUAUACCAUCAGGUCCUCACUCCUGAGCGCUUCUUCCACCAUGACUUUUCUCAUGGAAAAAACAUGGUGUGACAUUCUUUGUCAAUAUGUAUAUAAUGUAAAUAGUUUUAAAAGAAAAAAGUCUUAAUUUGCUGCUGUUCUAUUUUGUUUUUUAACUUUAACACACGUGUUUGUGAGUGUGUGUGUGAAAUUUGUAAUAAAUUUGUUACAUUUCAGUGACUGUCUUCAUUUUUUACUGCAAAAAUGCAAACUCACUCAUAGAAAACGAUAACAUUGUUGCAGUACUUCAUUCAGAAAUAUAAAAAUGACUAUAAAAGUACAUUUAGGUACAUGUGAUAACACUUGGUAGUAGUCUGUGUUAAAGGCCUCAUGUUCCAACGGUGGAAUCGAACCGGCGACCUUUGGGUCAAGAGCCUCCUAUGCUUUUCUGCAGUUAAGUGUCAUAUUUGGUUAAAUUUCUCAAAUUAAUAGACCAGAAUAUGUGUGAUUUUACUUGUGAUGGACAGUAGAGACACUAAUAACUACAGGCUCCUUCCAUUUUUUCA